AAAAGGAAGAAGAAGAAGAAACAGAGAG
rnacentral:sRNA from 1 species